AGCUGUUCCCCUCUGGAGGUUUUGACCUUCAAACUUGUCAGGCCGCGGAGCAAUCCAGCGGCCUUCUUUUUUGGAGCCG
rnacentral:sRNA from 20 species